UCGUCUAUAUACGUAUAGCAUAUCAAUAAGCGGAGGAAAAGAAACUAACUAGGAUUCCCUCAGUAACGGCGAGUGAAGCGGGAAGAGCUCAAAUUUGAAAUCUUCAAGGUUUUACCUUGACGAAUUGUAGUUUAAAGAAGUGUUUUCUGUUGGAAUUUUGGUAAAAGUUCUUUGGAAUAGGACAUCAUAGAGGGUGAGAAUCCCGUAUUUGACCAUUAUUUCCAACUUUGUGAUACACUUUCAAAGAGUCGGAUUGUUUGGGAAUGCAGUCCAAAAUGGGUGGUAAAUUUCAUCUAAAGCUAAAUACUGGCGAGAGACCGAUAGCGAACAAGUACCGUGAGGGAAAGAUGAAAAGAACUUUGAAAAGAGAGUUAAACAGUACGUGAAAUUGUCAAAAGGGAAGCGUUUGACACCAGUGUUGUUUUCUCGAAAAUCAAUUAAAAAUGGUGGGAUUUUGUGUUGUAUUGACUUUAUCAGCUUUCUGCACUUUUUUCCUGUCUUUUUUAAUGCACUUUUCGUUUAACAAGUCAACAUCAAUUUCUUUUGUUGUAAAAGAGGUCAUUGGAAGGUGGCUUUCUUUUCGGAGAAAGUGUUUAUAGCCUUUGACUUCUGCAAUCGGAGAGAUUGAGGUCUGCAGCGUAGAUCCUUCGGGGUUAGAUGCAUUUGUGCUAAGUUAUAGCCUUUCAUAGACAACUUGUUGACUAUGAUCAGUCAUGUAGCUUACUCGCUUAUGUCAUUUUACCUACGCUUAGGAUGUUGACGAUCAGCUGAGCGCG
rnacentral:rRNA from 1 species